UAGAUUGACUAGGGGUGUCCAAUUAAUUGGGCUGAGAGAGAAACGUGAUUAAGUUUCUUAACCCUCAGGACCUGAUCUGGUUCAUACCAGCGUGGGGAAGUUAGAAAUUUUCAUU
rnacentral:ncRNA from 2 species